rnacentral:tRNA from 1 species
UGGGGGCGUAGCUCAGUGGGAGAGCGCUUGCUUCGCAUGCAAGAGGUCGUGGGUUCAAAUCCCAUCGCCUCCACCAA